rnacentral:rRNA from 1 species
UAGCUAGUAGGUGGGGUAACGGCUCACCAAGGCGACGAUCCCUAGCUGGUCUGAGAGGAUGACCAGCCACACUGGAACUGAGACACGGUCCAGACUCCUACGGGAGGCAGCAGUGGGGAAUAUUGCACAAUGGGCGCAAGCCUGAUGCAGCCAUGCCGCGUGUAUGAAGAAGGCCUUCGGGUUGUAAAGUACUUUCAGCGGGGAGGAAGGGAGUAAAGUUAAUACCUUUGCUCAUUGACGUUACCCGCAGAAGAAGCACCGGCUAACUCCGUGCCAGCAGCCGCGGUAAUACGGAGGGUGCAAGCGUUAAUCGGAAUUACUGGGCGUAAAGCGCACGCAGGCGGUUUGUUAAGUCAGAUGUGAAAUCCCCGGGCUCAACCUGGGAACUGCAUCUGAUACUGGCAAGCUUGAGUCUCGUAGAGGGGGGUAGAAUUCCAGGUGUAGCGGUGAAAUGCGUAGAGAUCUGGAGGAAUACCGGUGGCGAAGGCGGCCCCCUGGACGAAGACUGACGCUC